UCGGCUUCAAGGGCUCCAACUUUGUCCCUCCACGCCGCACGCAUCUCGCCGAACUUUCGAUAUCCGGCCUCCAGCUCCGAGAUAUUGAAGACCAGCUGCACAAGGUGAAACCGACCGAUGAGAAAUCAAAUUUAUGAGAAACUACAUUCAAAGUCGGAGGAAAGAAAAACUCACCCGGAUCAUCAUCGGAUAGAAUGAAGACAGCAUGUCAGACACACGUUGGUUC
rnacentral:lncRNA from 1 species